UCCCCUAGUAACUGCGAGUGAAGCGGGAAAAGCUCAAAUUUAAAAUCUGGUAGUCUUAUGGCUGCCCGAGUUGUAAUCUAGAGAAGUGUUACCCGCGUUGGACCGUGUACAAGUCUCCUGGAAAGGAGCAUCAUAGAGGGUGAGAAUCCCGUCUUUGACACGGACUGCCAGGGCUUUGUGGUACACUCUCAAAGAGUCGAGUUGUUUGGGAAUGCAGCUCAAAAUGGGUGGUAAAUUCCAUCUAAAGCUAAAUAUUGGCGAGAGACCGAUAGCGAACAAGUACCGUGAGGGAAAGAUGAAAAGAACUUUGGAAAGAGAGUUAAACAGUACGUGAAAUUGCUGAAAGGGAAACGCUUGAAGUUAGUCGCGUUGGCUGGAAAUCAACCCUUUGGGUGUACUUUCUAGUCGACGGGUCAGCAUCAAUUUUGAUUGUUGGAUAAAGGCUUAGGGAAUGUGGCAUCUUCGGAUGUGUUAUAGCCCUAGGUUGCAUACAACAGUUGGGAUUGAGGAACUCAGCACGCCGAAAGGCCGGGUAUUUUACCACGUUCGUGCUUAGGAUGCUGGCAUAAUAGCUUUAAUCGACCCGUCUUGAAACACGGACCAAGGAGUCUAACAUGCCUGCGAGUAUUUGGGUGGAAAACCCGGAUGCGUAAUGAAAGUGAAAGUUGAGAACCCUGUCGUGGGGUGCAUCGACGCCCGGACUUGAUGUUUACUGACGGUUCCGCGGUAGAGCAUGUAUGUUGGGACCCGAAAGAUGGUGAACUAUGCCUGAAUAGGGUGAAGCCAGAGGAAACUCUGGUGGAGGCUCGUAGCGAUC
rnacentral:rRNA from 1 species